rnacentral:rRNA from 1 species
AACGAACGCUGGCGGCAGGCCUAACACAUGCAAGUCGAGCGGACCCUUCGGGGUUAGCGGCGGACGGGUGAGUAACGCGUGGGAAUAUGCCCUUCUCUACGGAAUAGUCCUGGGAAACUGGGGGUAAUACCGUAUACGCCCUUUGGGGGAAAGAUUUAUCGGGGAAGGAUUAGCCCGCGUUGGAUUAGGUAGUUGGUGGGGUAAUGGCCUACCAAGCCGACGAUCCAUAGCUGGUUUGGGAGGAUGAUCAGCCACACUGGGACUGAGACACGGCCCAGACUCCUACGGGAGGCAGCAGUGGGGAAUCUUAGACAAUGGGGGCAAACCUGAUCUAGCCAUGCCGCGUGAGUGAUGAAGGCCUUAGGGUUGUAAAGCUCUUUCAGCUGGGAAGAUAAUGACGGUACCAGCAGAAGAAGCCCCGGCUAACUCCGUG